rnacentral:rRNA from 1 species
UACGUAGGUGGCGAGCGUUGUUCGGAUUUAUUGGGCGUAAAGGGUCCGUAGGAGGUUGGGUAAAUUUGACGUGAAAUCCCGGAGCUCAACUCUGGAACUGCGUUGGAGACUGCCUGACUAGAGUACUGGAGAGGUAAGCGGAAUACCAGGUGUAGCGGUGGAAUGCGUAGAUAUCUGGUAGAACACCAAAAGCGAAGGCAGCUUACUGGACAGAAACUGACUCUCAAGGACGAAAGCGUGGGGAGCAAACAGGAUUAGAUACCCUGGUAGUCCACGCCGUAAACGUUGUCAACUUGAUGUGGGAGGAUUUAACCCCUUCCGUAUCGAAGCUAACGCGAUAAGUUGACCGCCUGGGGACUACGGCCGCAAGGCUAAA